rnacentral:rRNA from 1 species
GGCCCGCACAAGCGGUGGAGCAUGUGGUUUAAUUCGAUGCAACGCGAAGAACCUUACCUGGUCUUGACAUAGUAAGAACUUUCCAGAGAUGGAUUGGUGCCUUCGGGAACUUACAUACAGGUGCUGCAUGGCUGUCGUCAGCUCGUGUCGUGAGAUGUUGGGUUAAGUCCCGCAACGAGCGCAACCCUUUUCCUUAUUUGCCAGCACUUUGGGUGGGAACUUUAAGGAUACUGCCAGUGACAAACUGGAGGAAGGCGGGGACGACGUCAAGUCAUCAUGGCCCUUACGACCAGGGCUACACACGUGCUACAAUGGUCGGUACAAAGGGUUGCUACCUAGCGAUAGGAUGCUAAUCUCAAAAAGCCGAUCGUAGUCCGGAUUGGAGUCUGCAACUCGACUCCAUGAAGUCGGAAUCGCUAGUAACCGCGGAUCAGAAUGCCGCGGUGAAUACGUUCCCGGGCCUUGUACACACCGCCCGUCACACCAUGGGAGUUUGUUGCACCAGAAGUGGAUAGUCUAACUGCAAAGAGGACGUUCACCA